GAUGAACGCUGACAGAAUGCUUAACACAUGCAAGUCGAUGGGGAAGCGGCGCUUGCGCCGUGGCAACCAUGGCGGACGGGUGAGUAACGCGUAAAGAACUUGCCGGAUGGACCGGGAUAACAGCUGGAAACGGCUGGCAAGACCGGAUACUGUGGGCUGGCCGCAUGGCUGGCCCAUGAAAAGGGAUGCCGUCCGAGAGCUUUGCGUCCUAUUAGCUGGUUGGUAAGGUGACGGCUUACCAAGGCGAUGAUAGGUAGCCGGCCUGAGAGGGUGGACGGCCACAAGGGGACUGAGAUACGGCCCUUACUCCUACGGGAGGCAGCAGUGGGGAAUAUUGGACAAUGGGGGCAACCCUGAUCCAGCAAUUCUGUGUGCACGAAGAAGGUUUUCGGAUCGUAAAGUGCUUUCAGCAGGGAGGAAGGAAGUGACUUACCUGCAGAAGAGCGCGC
rnacentral:rRNA from 1 species